UAGUAUUUGAAUAUCAGAAACCAUCUUCUGAACUACAAUUAAUACCUUCUAAAAUACUGAAAUUAUCGGAAAUUAAUCUUUCAGAAUUAAUCAUUCUCAACUACAAUUGGAAAAGAUGUAGUACCAUUCAUAACAUAACACUAUUGAUUUAACCGUGAUCACUGAUCAGACCGUUAUCAUAAGAAUUGGUUUAUAACUUUAUUAUUAUUAGUAUUGUGGUAAUAUGACAAAAUCAAGGACAAAUUUAAUAAAAAGUAGAUGAAAAAUGCAUUCAAUGCAUUUCUACAACGUAAUAGCCUCUCAUGAGAUCAAAGACAAAAUUUAAUAGAUUAAAAAACACCUGGAAAUAACAUAACGGUUUCUGGAACGAUUUAGCCUUAGAUAAAUUUAAUCGCUGAUUUGUUUGGUGUUAGGUUACGUUAAAUCGUUCCGGAAACCAAUAAAGCAAUACAUUGUAACGUUUAUAAAAAAAAACUUAAAUUCUUAAUAAAAUCAUGCGCGAAAUAUUUGGGGAGGGGUAGAGGUCGAACGGUCAGUAGGUGUUGAGAGGUCCAGUUAAGAACAUCUGCAACAAUUACCUGUGACCUUAAAUUAGUUAUUUAUUUGUUAAAAAUCCAACACUUAGAACGAUCAAGCAACUUUUGAGGGCGCACACCACCAAAGCCCUCAACCCCAGUAUCAUCCUAAAGUCCGACACGCCAAUGUCGUAACCGAUCAGAGGAAAAUCCGAGGUCCUCAAAGUUUCUGUUAUUUCGUAUCCGAAGGGUUCCCCUACAGUCGAUUAGAGGAGGACUCCCUUCAUCAAAUGGUGUGACCUUCGGGAACCUCGUAAACGGCCAAGGACUGGACGCAGAUAAGUCCCAGAUAUCAGUUCUUCGCGAUUUUCAAUCUUUUCGUUAUAAUAUAUUAUUCGAAUUUCCUUUCUUAAAAAAAAAAUUAUUUCAAUUUUCAAAUUUUCCUUUUUAAAUUUCAAUUUUUAUGCAACUAUUAAUAAUUUUUUAUAACUUAUAAUUUCAAUUAAUGUGAGCGAGCGAAUUGGCCAAUUCUAACGUAAAGAUUCGUGUCAGUAGUUGAUUUAACCAUCAGGUCACAAGAGUAACUUUUAAUAUACGGAAUUUUAAUUGAUUAUUCAAUAGUUUUCUUAUCUCCUUCUCAGUUGGGAGCUUCGUUAUCGAUAACUGAGUGGCGCCCUUAAAAGGCUAGGUUAAAAGGAAUCUUGAACUCGCUCUCGGGGUGUCGAUCAUAAAACUGUCGGCCCGACCGGCUUAGGGUGCUUCAAAUUCUGUGGUUAAGCUGAUGUCACAACAAAGAAUGUAUUUGUGAUUUACAACAUUACCUACAUUGGUCUUACUUGAUAUUUGUAUGCCCAAAGAAGAUGUUCCCAAUUUGAACAGUUUUAUUUUAAAUUUGAAGUGUUUAUUUAAUGAAAAAGAAAAAACGUUCUAAAAUACUGGUAAAUCACGAUAAAAAGAAACUAAUUCAAGGCGUUCUCUGGAUUGUCAAUUUUUCGGAUUACUCAAUUAGUUUAAUAAAUAUAAUUUUAAUUUAAGAUUCGAUUAACAUAUAGUCGAAUUAAAAGAUUUGACUGUAGUUAGGAACGUAGGUGUUAUGCAAUGAAACAUGCGUAAAAAAAGAUUCAUAUAUUUUCAAAAAAAAAUCUAAAUACUUUUUUAACUAACAGAAAUUUCUAUAUUUCUAUCUUCCAUUGCCUUUGGAUCUAGCCAUUUUAUAAAAUGUCACUAAGCACAAACUCCACACAAUAGCACAGCGAACUGUUAAACAGUAAUUAAAAAUUACCAUAGUUUUGCACUUCUUAUAUUAGCAGAUGCUUCCUCCUACCACUUUAGGGAGAUUACAUUACAAUGUAGGGGGUUGGUGUUUUCUCUUUUGAAUAGCAAUAACUAUACUUUCCCAAGAAUGUAAAUUUUAUAAAAACGAAUAACAUAUAAUAACGAAUAACACUCUUAAAUACCUAUGGUCACUGGUAGAGUAGACAAUUAACAAAAAAAUCUUUAGGUCAAAGAACUCAAUUAUGCAAUUGCCAUUCAUCUUUUUUUACUUAAUUUUAAUUUUAUUUUUUAAUUACUAAAAAGUGUACUGUCAACAACAACAAGCAGAAAUGUCAGUUGUUAUUUACAAAAAUAAAAAAUUACGUUAUAAUUCAAAAACCAAUUACGUCAUUAAUGUUGCUAUACUGUCAUAAUCAUAAUAUAUAUAGCAUGCACACAACUGAGUCCUUUGAAAACUAAAACAUUCCUUUUCAGCAUAUUAUUUGUUAUAUUUAAAAAAAACAAAGUGUAAAUUAGGUUUUUAUUAAGAAUAACAGUGUACACUGGCGAGCACUUUUGACAUUUUACUGACAUAAUCGUGGGCAAUACUACUCUAACCUUUUUGACAAUGAAAUGACAAAUGUGUCCAAAAUUUUUUGCUCGCUAUUGUAGGUGUCAUUUUUUGACGAAACAAAGUCGUGCGAAUUUUUUUAAUUCUAUAAUUAUUAUCAUUAUUAUCAAUUUUUACAUUAAUUUGUACAGAACACAAUAGCUCCAAAGCGUUAUAGUUUAGGAAAUAGUCACGCAAUACGAAUUUACUGUUUUAAAUUAAAGUUAGUAAACAAAGCCUAAAGUUAGUUAGGGUUUUGUUAGGUGCUUCUAGAAGUGACUUUUGAUUUUUGAAAAAGAAAAACCAAAACCAAUUCAAUUUACGUUAACAAUUUCUGGGUAAUAGAAAAUUAGCCUGGUGUGUGUUCACAAAUAAAGUGCUUUCUAAAUACCAGCCUUAGAUAAAGAAAUUAUUAGAUAAACAAGUUACCUAUUAUAAUACCAAUUAUAAAUAACGUGAAACCCUUAAAUUAUUAUUAAGCGGAUAAUCCCUUUUCUGGUUACAUGGUUUAACUUUCUCUGGGUUGGUUCUUAAUCUCGACCAAAUUCCUUUUUCAACGGAAACAAAAGUCAUUAUUGUUUCGAUGAAUAAGACUAACAAGAAAGUGAGAUGUGACAAAUCUAAUCAUUUUUAGCAGGUACCUACUUUUGGGUCUGUUACUCAGACCUAGACCCUCCGGUCCCAUUGUAAAUCUUUCUGCGGAUUUGUCUAGUCAACUGCUAUAAAUCAUCGCCCAAGGAAUUUUGUGCUUCCAAUGAAUUAAAAUUUUCGCAAUAUUAAGCUUAUUUUUAAUAACAGAAAAAAAUUAAAAAUACCAAGGUGUUUAAAAUAACAAUCUCUAUCGCUUGGCCGGAGAGUUUUUUCAUUUUGAAGUCUUGGUGUCUUAAUACGUGUAUUAUUUCGAAAUCGUGUUUAUUUAAAUAGCCAUAAUUUAUUGAGCACUAGAUUUUUUAAAAUUUUCUAAUGGCCAUUUUGUAAAUAUCAUUUCUAAGAUACAUUGAGUUUUGAAACGAUGUUGAUAUCUUUUCAAAUAACUUAAUUACAGCCACAAUUCUUUUACAUUGAAAACGCCAUAAGACGAAUACGUUUAACCUAGCCUUAAGGCUCUAGACCCUCUGGGAGCUGGCGCAUACGUUUUACGUGUAAACUGUUUUUAGCCGCAAAUUUAGACUUGAAGAGUUUCUUGACAUUUGCAGUGUUUCUUUAUAAGUAAAUGUAAGUCGAAGAGUCAUUUUUGAUUGAAAUAAAUGCCUAGAUAUUUUUUUAUUAAAUAAAAUGUCUGUUUAUGAAGUUGAUACGAAUUUUUGAUAACGGUGCAUUGUAUUGAGAAUUUAAAAAAAACAUUUUAUAGGAAAUUUAAAAAUACAGACCUGAGAUAUUUUAGAUUUUUGUUAACUGUUCUUAAUUGUUAGAUAUAAUGCAAAAAUUAAAUUGUAAGUAGGCAACUUUUAAUGCAUCCUUCUUCGAAUGCGUAGCUAGCUGGAAGAAGAUUUAUGACGGGUUUAGGACGCACCGCUGGAGGUAACCACCAUUGGGGUGACCCACAAGAUAAUAAUUUUAUUGCAUUUGUUCAAGACAGAGAAAUGUAUCGGCACAAAUAGGAAUUUUAGCGAUUUCUCUAAUAGUGGUAUAAAAUUAAAGCACAUGAUUUCGGAAUUAACAUUUUUUAACAAAAUAAUUAGGUACCUAUAGAUUUGCAUUACGUUUUUUUUGUAGACACUGCUAUCAACGUAUCUUAUGAGAUUUUGAAAUACGAGUAAUCACGCUCGCUAUUUUUUUGAAUACUUUUAACAAUAAAAUUAUUCCUGUUUUAAAAAAAAUAUAAAAAAGAUGAUUAAAACUUUGGUUGUACUUAGCUUCGUUCUGCACAGGUUUUGUGAUAGAACUACUGAGCUCCCUCACCACGACAAGGUGUCAACCCACUGAGGAAGUUUUUUUUACUUUUAUUGUUCAUUCCGUUUUAGAACCCUUUCGUUGUUUUUUCCAAAAAUUACGCAUUAUUUGUUUUCGACUUUUUC